AUGCAUGUCUAAGUACAUACCGAAAUAAGGUGAAACCGCGAAUGGCUCAUUAAAUCAGUUACGGUUCCUUAGACUGUACUUUCCUACUUGGAUAACUGUGGUAAUUCUAGAGCUAAUACAUGCAUCAGAGCUCCGACCUUCGGGGACGAGCGCAUUUAUUAGACCAAGACCAAUCGGACUUAGGUCCGCAAACUGUGGUGACUCUGGAUAACUUUGAGCUGAUCGCACGGUCUAGCACCGGCGACGUAUCUUUCAAGUGUCUGCCUUAUCAACUUUCGAUGGUAGGUUAUGCGCCUACCAUGGUCGUUACGGGUAACGGGGAAUCAGGGUUCGAUUCCGGAGAGGGAGCCUGAGAAACGGCUACCACAUCCAAGGAAGGCAGCAGGCGCGCAAAUUACCCACUCCCGGCACGGGGAGGUAGUGACGAAAAAUAACAAUACGGGACUCUAUUGAGGCCCCGUAAUUGGAAUGGGUACAAUCUAAACCCUUUAACGAGUAUCCAUUGGAGGGCAAGUCUGGUGCCAGCAGCCGCGGUAAUUCCAGCUCCAAUAGCGUAUAUUAAAGUUGUUGUGGUUAAAAAGCUCGUAGUUGGAUCUCAGAUCCGGAGCUGCGGUCCACCGCCCGGUGGUUACUGUAGCGACCGGACGUUUGGCCGGAUUCCUUUGAUGCUCUUUGCCGAGUGUCUUGGGUGUCCGGCACGUUUACUUUGAAAAAAUUAGAGUGCUCAAAGCAGGCGUACCGCCUGAAUAAUGGUGCAUGGAAUAAUGGAAUAAGACCUCGUCUCUAUUUUGUUGGUUUUCGGAAAACGAGGAAAUGAUUAAGAGGGACAGACGGGGGCAUUCGUAUUGCGACGCUAGANGUGAAAUUCUUGGACCGUCGCAAGACGAACUACUGCGAAAGCAUUUGCCAAGAAUGUUUUCAUUAAUCAAGAACGAAAGUUAGAGGUUCGA
rnacentral:rRNA from 1 species